UAUUUUUUAUUUUUAUUUUUGAGUAGGAAUCUCAUUCUGUGAACCAGGCUGGAGUGCAGUGGCACUGCUGGACUCAGACGAUCCUUCAGAAU
rnacentral:snoRNA from 1 species